rnacentral:lncRNA from 10 species
GGGGAAGCCAGCUGCAUGUCAUAUGGACAUUCAGGCAACCUAGGGUGUGAAUAAUGUGGCAAGGAAAUAAAAGGCCUGCUAGCAAAUGCUCAGUUGAGCUUGGUAAUGGGUCCUCUCCCAGCAUCUCCAGCCAAGAGCUUGACUGCAACCUCAUAUGAGAUUUUGAGCCAUAACCAUUCAGCUAAACUGCUUCUGGAUACCUGACCAUAGAAACUGUGAGAUUAUAAGAGAAGCAGAUCUUAGGGGGACAAGAGUACAUAUGAAACACAGCAGAGGAGUAGGAUAUGUCUUUGAAUGAAGAUGCCUGAGGGACUGAAUAAAGAACCUGGACAACUAAAGAAAAAAGACACCUAUGGAUCAGAAUUGAGACAAUUUCUUCAGCUACUUAAUUUUUUUUCUUGUAAAAAAAGAACUUCCAGUUUCCCAAGACGCAACAUUGAAUUCAAUCAGAGGUAAAGAUUCUGGACUAUUGGAUUAAAUGAGGAGGCAGGAGCUACUAUCUCUUGCAGUGUGAAACCAGGGCCGGGGAUGAAGAUAUGGACACAUCUCAGCUUUCCAGGGAUGCUGUGAUGUGGUGAAAUUAUGCCAUUCAUUAGAAGGUGAUACUGUCAUCAAUGUGAGAGGCCCAGGACUCUGCAGGGCCUGAAGAAAUCCUGGGCAAUGAGUCUGAGGGAAGUCUCUCAGAGCAGCUACUCUGAGAGAGUAAAGCCGCAGCCUUUGUGGGGUAUGAAAGCAGCGUUCUCAUGGAUAAGGCUUAUUUGAGACGAAGUGGAGGCCUUGUUUUGUCCACUUACCGCAAUGUCCACUGUCCCCAACUGCAGCAUGCCAACAGCAAAUGUGUUUAGUGGAUAUGUGCUUUGUAGCUAACAAGAAACAGUAACAUUUAUUUUUCCAUGCCUAGUUGCUUAACAAACGAUAUUCUAAAAGGGCACCACGUUUUAUGUGUGUUUACAUGAAAACAAAUCAAAUCAUGAACUGGUGGUCAGGGAGUUCUGGAAACAAUAAACAAGUUGACCAUGCAACUGACAGCUCCCCUCUGAAAUGCAGACACAGCUAAGUCCAGCAUGACUCGCUGAAGGCACAUGCAAAGAACAGGCGGGGCAGUUUGGUG